CCUACGGGUGGCAGCAGUGGGGAAUAUUGGACAAAGGGGGCAACCCUGAUCCAGCCAUGCCGCGUGUGUGAAGAAGGCCCUCGGGUUGUAAAGCACUUUCAGUGAGGAAGAACGCCUGGUGGUUAAUACCCAUCAGGAAAGACAUCACUCACAGAAGAAGCACCGGCUAACUCCGUGCCAGCAGCCGCGGUAAUACGGAGGGUGCGAGCGUUAAUCGGAAUUACUGGGCGUAAAGCGCGCGUAGGUGGCUUGAUAAGCCGGUUGUGAAAGCCCCGGGCUCAACCUGGGAACGGCAUCCGGAACUGUCAAGCUAGAGUGCAGGAGAGGAAGGUAGAAUUCCCGGUGUAGCGGUGAAAUGCGUAGAGAUCGGGAGGAAUACCAGUGGCGAAGGCGGCCUUCUGGACUGACACUGACACUGAGGUGCGAAAGCGUGGGUAGCAAACAGGAUUAGAUACCCUUGUAGUC
rnacentral:rRNA from 1 species